rnacentral:rRNA from 1 species
GAUGAACGCUGGCGGCGUGCCUAACACAUGCAAGUCGAGCGAACAGACGAGGAGCUUGCUGCUCUGACGUUAGGGGAGGAGGGGAGUGUAACACGUGUAUAACCUACCUAUCAGACGGGGAUAACCACGGGAAAGCGGAGAUAACAGGGGAUAAGAUAUUGAACCACAGGGGUCAAUGGUGAGAGACGGUUGUGCUGUCAGUUAUAGAUGGAUCUGCGCUGCAUGAGCUAGUUGGGAAGGUAACGGCUUACCAAGGCUACGAGGCGUAGCCGACCUGUGAGACUGAUCGGCCACACGGGAACUGAGACACGGACCAGACUCCUACGGGACGGAGCAGUCGGGAAUCGUCCGCAACGGGCGAAAGCAUGACGCAGCAACGCCGCGUGAGUGGUGAAGGUCUUCGGAUCGUAAAGCUCUGUUAUUGGGGAAGAACCGAUGUGGAAGGAGCUAUGGACGUCUUGACGGUACCUAAUCAAAAAGCAACGGCUAACUACGUG